rnacentral:rRNA from 1 species
GUGCCAGCCGCCGCGGUAAGACGGAGAGUGCAAACGUUGUUCGGAUUUACUGGGCGUAGAGGGCACGUAGGCGGCCAGGCAAAUCAGUUGUGGAAUCCCGACGCCUACCGUCGGAACGGCAAUUGAAAAUACCUGGCUCGAGGGCAUGAGGGGUCGCGGGAACUCUUGGUGGAGCGGUGAAAUGCGUAGAUAUCAAGAGGAACGCCGGAGGCGAAAGCGCGCGACUGGCAUGACCCUGACGCUGAGGUGCGAAAGCCGGGGGAGCAAACAGGAUUAGAAACCCCAGUAGUCC